CUCAUUGUUCAAGAGCUUAUGGAAAUACGACUAUCAUCUUUUCUUAAUUAGAACGUCCUCUACCAAAACUUUUCAAUCCUCUCCUUUAAUGCACUUCACUUGGUCCAGAUUCCGACCCUUACGCUCCCUAGUUUUGGCAAGCCUGUACAACCUCUUUUCCUCGCCUCUGUUCUCUAAACCCGAAUAAAGUCUCUCAAACGCUGCUGUCUUAGCAGUCGUAACUGCUAACUUAGCCUCUUUCUUAGCAAGUUUGUACUCCUCCCUGCACACCCGCUUCUCCUCUUCUUCCUUACUCUCAACCAACUUAAUGUAAGCCGUCUUCUUCGUCUCCACCUUCUUCUUAACUUCUUCAUUCCACCACCAGUCCCCUCGAUGCCAGCCAAACCAUCCCCUAGAGACACCCAAAACCUCUCUAGCAGUCUCCUUAAUGCAACCCCCCGCCCUAUCCCACAUACUAUCCACGUCCCCCCGACACUCCAACGCCCCCAUCCCUUCCAACUUUGCCUCUUAUCUCUAAAGCAUUGACCGGAGUCAGGCCACCCCACUUAACUCUAGGUCGACCCUCCCCACCCCUCCUCUUCUUGCCCAUCUUAAUAACCAAAUCCAUCACCAGAAAUCUAUGUUGGGUCGCAAGAUUCUCAUUCGGGAAAACCUUACGGUCCUUACACAAAGCUCUAUCCCCCUUCCUAAGCAGCAAAAAGUCAAUCUAGGUCUUGGCUAUCCUAUUACAGAAAGUAACCAGAUGCUCCUCUUUCUUCGGAAAGCUAGAAUUCACUACCACCAACCCAAAGGCCCUAACAAAAUCCAACAGAGAAGUACCCUCAUCAUUCCUAUCCCUAAAACCAAAGCCACCAUGCACAUCAUCGUAUCCUAUCGACAAAUGCCCGAUAUGCCCAUUGAAGUCCCCUUCUAAGAAAAGCUUUUCCAAACUAGGCACGCCUCGAAUCACCUCGUCCAAGACCUCCCAAAAACUCCUCUUCUCCUCCUCGCCCAGGCCCACCUGUGGCGCGUAAGCACUCCAGACGUGCACCGUAAAACCCCCAAUGACCAACUUAAUAGUCAUCACCCUAUCGUUAACCCUAUUAACCUCCACUACCUGCUCCCUAAGCUUUUCAUCCACUAAAAUACCUACUCUAUUCCUACGCCUCACUACCUGAAUACCACAACUUGUACCCAUCCACAUCCCUAGUCCUUCUCUUCCUAAGAAUCUUAACUAGCUCUAUCAACUUACCCUGCAGGGUCCCUAUGUUCCACGACCCUACCCUCAACUUAUCAUCUCUCGACUCUCCUCCCCUAAAACCCCAUCCUCCGCAUCUCAACUUUGACCCACCACCUGGCCCCGACCGCACCCGCAGCCCCCCAGUUAAUGACCCUAGUCCACCAUUUACUACCCAAGCCACUACUCAACAAAUGCAACAGAAGAGGUUAAAACAACAAAACAAUAACGACAGCUCAAAGCAUACAGUUUAACCUAAUUUAAGAACAAUAGCAACUCGAACCCAAUCAACCGACACAAAUCCCACAAAAAAAAUAUAGGCAGCGAAAAUACCGAAAAGCUGCGCGAUAAAAUUAAGUACAAGGAUAUAAAAUAAAGUAAAAAUAAAAUAAAGGGUUAGAAAUCACCGGGAGUACUCCUGCUACAGCUGGUGUCGAGAUUUGUUGCCUGACUAGGGUCGCCGGCAAAGAAGCCGCCGGAAAGUCGUCGGAAUUUCAUCGGAAUGACGCCGGAAUUUCACUGGAAUAUCGUCGGGGCGUCUCCUUGCUUUUUCCGUACGCUGGUCGCGAUUGUAGUCGAACCGACUAAUUUUUUAAUUUUUAUAGUAUGAAAAUACUAAUAGAGUGUUGCAUAGUCCAACACUUAUUAGUUCAGUUCCAACCAAUAUUGACUUGGGUUUCAAACCAAAUGGACUAAGGUGGAAAGGUGGAGCUGCAGUAACUCAAAGACAGCUAAAAGAACAGAGUUACAAAAGAUCAAAGGCAUAAUCAUCUACAACCACUCAUGCCACAUCAAGUACUCAAGCCAGCAAGAAUCAGUCCAAAACAAGCACUCAAGGAACACAUUAGUAUAAUUCUCUUUCUGUAUUGACCCCAAGUAUUGUUAAGACAAUUUUUUUAGGACUUCUGGUGCAUUUCUCAUUUAAGUUGUUAAGACAAGCUUUUUGAUGUCAACUCUUGUUAAGACAUUAUAUAUUGCAGAUUUCUAUGUUGGCAAAAUGGUGUUUGUCAUUAAAUUUGAAUUUCAUUUUCAUUGCACAUAUCAACUACAUAGAUCAAGCCAUCUUAAAUAAUACAACGGAUAGAAACCAGAUGACAACAAUAAUGAUAACAGUGAUAUCAAUACUAAUGCUUGAUCUUUCAUGUCUUCCGUGCCUUCCAUAUCUUCCCAGUCCUUAUUGUCUUCGUUGCCUUCGAUGUCUGCCUUUAUAUUGUUCAUUUUCAUCAGCCCAUCGAAAGAAUCCACAACCAAUACCAACUUGAUAUUUUUGACAGCCCCAAAACAUUCUUCCGGGGUUGGUUGGUGUUCUUGAAAUCUUAAGUUUCGCGUAAAGCCUACAAUAACAAAUUCGAACUGCCAUGGUGUUGCAAAAAAUUACAUAAAAAAUUAACUUUCCAAUAUUACAAACACGGCAGGAAAAAAAAAUUAAAGAACAAGUACUUAUAGAGAAAAAAUGGAGAAGAAGGGAGAAAAAAAAGCUCAAAUUGCUCCAACGAUAGUGUUGGGAGCAAAUGAGGGAGAAGGAGCAUUUAUAAGGUCUUUUUUGACCUUGGGGGCCCUUUUUUUAUGGCUGACGUGCGCUAGGAGACUAAGAUACAUGCUCCUAUGUGGUCUCAGCCACAUAGGAUGCCACAUCAGAAAAUAUGUUUAAAAUGUUGCUUUUUAAUGGGUUAAGGGUCCAGAUGACAAACAUGUAAGUAGAAGUGUCCAACUUACAAAACCGACACAAUAAAGGGGUCCAUCGAACCAUUUUGCCAAAAAAGAAUAGAAAUAAGAAUUUUUCAAAACCCGCAACCAAUCCAAGGCUGCCACGUCAUAUAUGUACAACACACCAAUUGUAGGCUCAAAUUUGUGGAUUCCUAGUUUCUUUUACUUAUUCCUGUAGUUUCGUUUAUUGAUUCUAAUACUAAUUGACAAACUAGUAACAUCUACUAGGUUGUAAGUUAGUUUUUGAGUCCGUUCAUUUGUGUUUGUGUUUGUUAUGUGCUUUUAUUGUUUGUGAAUUGUUGUAGUUUCUUGGCUCACGUCCGACAAGAUUUCUUUGAGUCUUUCAAACGAAAAUCCAUUCCGGAAGAGUAGAACUCACCCCUCAACGUCCCAGGAUUACAAGCCGACUUACAACACUUGUGAAACCAAGUGUGAGGUGAUCAAAAGUGUGAGACUGUGGUGAGGAUACUUUUGGAUUUUGUUGUUUUUGUUGUUGUCUUUUUUUUAGGUACCAUGGACAAAAAAACACCGCUAAGAGUAUUUUGGCCUCUAUUGAAGCUCUUAACCGAAAAUGUGAAAUGAUGUGCAUGCAAAUGGAGUCGAUCGUAGGAGUUGGAAAUCAAAUGCCCCAAUCUACACCAAAACCAACUCCUACCGCCUAAGCUACACCGAAACCACACCAACCGGCACAUGUAGAGGAAGUAGAGAGGAGGGAACGUAAACUAACCCUUUAGCAAAGAAAAGACCAUCACGGUUCAAGAACAAAAGAUGAUUGAUCACCUAAAUGAGUUCUUCUCUAGGAAUCCCCACUUUGGGAAAAAGAAUGAAGGGACGAACCAUGGGAGGAGCCUUGACAAACUCUCUUGUGAUAAGAGCUUCCCAAUGGAACAAGUGGGCUGCCAUGAUGCACACCAAGGUGAAGGCCGCACCUCAUGUGAGCUAUAAGGUAACAAUGCUACCUCCUACACUCCUAUAAACGUAGAACGUUGUGAUGUGGCUAGUAGUAGCCAAAUGGAUGCAAUUAGUGGUUUACCUAAAGAGGAAUUGCAUGAGUCCUCCCUUUGUGAUAUUCUUGAUAUUGCUAGGUUGCAUAAAGAUCCAAUUCUUGUUGUAAGCAAGCAAUCACUAGUUGAUCUUAUAGAUGACAAAAUUGAUUCUUCUCGUAAGAAUGAAUUGAGUCCACCUAGUGCUAGCUCUUGUAACUUGAAUAAGGUCCCAAUACCAAAUGAUGAGAGUAUUUCACCCACUAAUUGACCCUUGUGAAAACCAAGGUGAGUCUAUGUCGGCAUGGGAGUUGCCCACAACUAGUGACGGUGUGAAUGAUGAUCAACUUACUCCUAAAUGUAGUCUACUACUUGAGCAUAUGUGUAGUAUGCUUGAUGAGUCUCAAGUUAGUGAUGAUGUUGAUAGAGUUGAUCAUGAGAUUGUAGAUGAUUCUUUGAGCAUGUUGCGUGAUGAAAUUCUUAUAGUUGCUCAUAUAAAUCGUGGAAAUGAAAAUGUCGUGGAGAAUGAUCAAUCAGUGAAAAAGAUCUUGAUGAGCUUGAAUGCUUAAGCAACCCGAUUAGUGUUUGAUUUUGAAAAGUGAUCUUGAUUGUGAUCCUUUGCAUAACACCCCACCCUUUCUUGAUAAAUGUAGGGAUGAAUUGCUUGACCCAUGUGAUAACUUGAGUUGUGAUCCCUUUGAUGUUAAUGGUGGUUUGUGUUUACUUGAGGAAUGCUCUUUGGAAAGAGAAGGUGAUAUUUGCUUAGAAAUUCCCUCAACUUCUUCUUUGUGUGAUGCCUAUGUACUUAGAACUAGUGAGUACUUGCAUAAGGACACCAUACUUGGAGUUGAUUUGUGUGACACCUUUCUCUACCCUCUUCUUGUUCAUGGUAUUGCUAAUGGUGGUAUAGAGGGUGUGCCUAAUUUUGGGGAUGACUCCAGGGGGAAAGUGAGUAUGGCCGAAAUCUAUGUCCAUGGCUACUUCUCCCAUUUGACCCCGGUAACCUCUUGAAAUAUGGAGAAUGUUAUACAUUCCACUUGAUGCUUGGUCAAGACGACAAGCAAGGUUUGGUUCUGAGUGUUGGAACCCUUCCCUACGAUGGAAAGUCUUUCUUGGGAAUUUACAAUCCACUUGAUAGACCUAAACACAUGGGGGGAAUUUCCCACUAUGAUAAGUGUUCACUAAAGAAGGGGAGUAAUAACAAGAGCCAAGAGAGUUCAUCCUUGAGUGUUUCCAUUCUUGACCAAGGUAUCACUACUUGUAGGUCAAGGAAAGAGUUAAAUCUUGAAAACUCUUUGGGUGAAUUCCAUUCAUAUGAUAUCCUUCUUUGUGACUUGAUUUUGAUUGUGGACCCUAGGGCAAAGGUGUCAUUGCCUCUUGGGGGUGUUGCUGAUAUACUUACAUCCAUGUUUGACACACUUUGCUUAAAUUAUGUGAACAACUUGUGGAUGCAAAGUUGAAUUAUUGUUUGUGGAAGAGUCCAAGGAUGUUAAGGACUUCUUGUCACCUUCUUAGGGUUGGACAAUUUGAAGUAUUUUGCGGAACUUUUGGGAGCAUGUUUGAUAUCAUUAGUAGAGGGAAACAAAGUUCUUGGGAAAACUACUUGGAUUGGCUUGGCUUGUUGCAUCUAUUCUCCCUAAUGGCAUGGCUCCCUUGAUGGAAUACCUUCCCUCGGGAAGUUGUGGGAAAAAGAGAGGUCCUAUGUGCUUGCAAUGUCUUUUUCUCUCUGUGUGUUCCUACUUGUGCAUACAUCUUUGAUGAGAAUAGUGCCUUUAGUACCUUUCUUCAUUACCUUUAUGCAUAUGAUGAUAUUCAUAAUCUUGUUGAAUCUACUUCGUAUGUUGGUAUGAAUUGCCUAAAAGAAAGAAUUUGUAUGUGCUUAAGUGCUUUGUUUUCGUCCCUGUGCACAUCCCGAGCUAAGUCUUGUGAGCCAAAUGGAAUUCUCAUGGAUAAUAGCACCUCGGACGAUACUUUUACAUUUGAUCCCUUUCUAUACUACCUCUUUGCUUAUGAUGACUUCCAUGAUAGUUGUGGAAUGGUCGUAUGUGAGGGUAGGAUAGUUGUUGGUUGGUCCACUUGUUUGAGUGACAUUGCUAUAUGUUUUUUGUGGACUUUAAUUUCAAUUGAGGCACCACUCUUGAUGUGGUCUUUUAAAGAGGUGGUGAAGCAAUUGUGUCUUAUAGUUCCUAAGGAAAAGGUAACCUUACCUUUGUCUCUAGUGAAGCCAUUAUGACCUUUGUGGUUUCCAUACCUCUUAGUGCUUCCAUUGGCCAAAUCCUUUGUGACAUUUGUACUAAGCUUUUCAUGAUUAAAAGCAAAGGAUUUGUGGUUAUAUUUCAAGUGUGUACCACCUUGGCAUGAUGAUGUUCUUUGUUGUACUAACCCUAACACUCAUGCCAUAAGGAUUUUGUGCGUGUUUGUCCUCUCUUUGGUUUUGCAAGGUGUAGAUUCGAGGUCGAAUCCUUUUCAAGAAGGGGAGGAUGAUACGAGCCAAAUGGCCAUCCUAGCUUUUGAAGACACUAUUGGAGGCCAACACCUAAAGACUCAAGACUUGGUCACCUCGAGGACACAAGAAUAUGCAAGGAAGACCCGUUUUGAGCACACCAAAAAGCAAUGUCGUGUGUGGAAGGUUGCUUAGGAGCUUGCCUUGAUGCCUACGUCCUAAGGGAUCCCACGUUUUGAAGACAUGGUUUUGAAGUGUUCAUUUGCCCUUACGUUUGGGCUUGAAGAGCCACGAUCUUGGGGCAUUGAAGAGCACCUUCAUUAAGGGUGUUUUAGGGAAUUCACAAGCUCAAGAGACACUCCAUAGCCGCCCACCCUCAUUAAGGGUAGUAUGGUCACUUCAUUUUUGUAAUAGCUAUAAAUAGACUUCUUUAGGAGUUAUUUCAUUAGUUUUAUCCAUUAUGAAUAUUUGAGAGAGAAACAUUUGAGACACUUCUCUCUUUCGGAGAGUGAAACCGGAACUAGGAACCAAGUGUGGUAUUCACUUGCGUUGUAUCUUGGCUUAGAAACGUUGGUGCUUGGGGAGAGUGAUUUCCCUCUUGUGUCUACGUAAGACUUUGGUGUUGAUUACGUGAGUAAUAGGGGUUUUAGAGUUUGAAACACUCUCUAGUUCUUAUUAUUUGUGUAAUCUCUAUGUCAAACUAUUUAUCCCUUUACUUCUCUUGCAUUUGUUGUGUUUGUUCCCUCCCUUUGUAUUCACGGCUUGUGAUGUUUUGUUGCUGCAGAGUUAUUGUGCUUGUUGUUCGUCUUGUUUCCGUGUUUGUUGGUUAAUAUUCGUUGAAGAUUUCUGGAGUAGGAUUCUUUGCAAAAGAAACAAAGAACUUCUUGCGAUCUUAGCAAAGUGUACGUGAUCCAAUUCGUUGGGAAAAGUCGCAUUAUUUUCCUAGAAAAAACCCUAGUACGGUUUCCUAGAACUGGUUGAUUUGGGAUUUUAAGGUAAGUGAACCAGUUCAUUCUCUCUUUCCAUGCUAGCUCACUUAACAAAGGCAUUCUUGUCUUUUAGCUUGAUAGAAAUUCUUCUAUGAACCAUUUCAAAACCCUCAUCGUCUACAUGCUUCCUAUUCGAACCAAAUGCCGGAAAGACAUUCCCCGGAAAGACAUUCUCCGGAAAAACGUGCUUCUCUCAAGGCUCUGGAAUCCUACUCCCCUCUUUUCUCUCUCCUCACUCUCCUACUUUCCAACCAAGGUUGUGAAAGGCGCUCGCCUCGUCGCCAAUGGCGAAAGGCUGGGCGAGCUUUGUCCGCAUUCAGCUUAGUGGCAAUGACAUGUUCAAUAGGCAACGCCACGGCGAGCAAGGCAAGAAAGGCUCGAAUUUUCUUAAAAAGCUUUCGUAUUUUAUUUUUUUAAUAAGGCUUUAAAAGAUUAAAGAUAAUUUUAAGGUAUCUUUCCGAAUUUGCACAAACCAAUUGACUGCAAGGCUCCAACCAAUCGCCUCAAGAAGACAUCUCCAGCAACUCCAAACAAUACGUAUUUCUUCUUUGUCUUUCCGAAUUUGCACAAACCAAUUGACUGCAAGGCUCCAACCAAUCGCCUCAAGAAGACAUCUCCAGCGACUCCAAACAAUAUGUAUUUCUUCUUUUCUUCUUCCAGUUUUUCUUCUCCUUCUGAUUUCUUCUACUUCCUCUGUCUUGUUUUUCAAUUUCCAGCACUACUAUUUCUUUUUAGAAGAAACACACUUUUUUCCUUCUACUUUCGCUGUUUUUGAAUUAUGUUUAGUUAAGAACAAUAGACAUAAAGUUAUAAAACUUUUUUUUUAAUCGUGGUGUCCGGGUCAGCUUGCACACACCUCGACUAAUUCGACGGGAUACCUAUUUGAGACUAAGGCAGGUUUGAAACCCUGUCCUAUCACCUUUAUCAAAUCCCUAGAUGCUUUGUAACGUAUUUACAUUAAAGGUGUUCUUGUUCUUUGUGGAGAUCUACUCUUAUGCGUUGUGUCUUUGUUGUGUAUGUAUCACUAAUGCUUCCCUUUGUAAUGUUGUGUUGUGUGGCUGGUCUAUAUGUGCUUCCCAUGUAAGAAAAUGCUUCUAGUGCUGGAAUGAAUAAAAUCCGCUUUGUUCUAGUUCAUUGUCUUUCCCUGUUUUAUGCAGAAAAAUUGUUAUCCUAGGCAUGGAUUUUUCUUUGAUUGAAGGAAUGGGAAAAGUGAACGAAAGGAGUAAUAGGACACUUCCUAACCAGAAGGCAAAGUUCCAUACCUUUCGAUUGAUACAUAGUUGAGGAGGCCGGACUUUUGACGGGCCAGCACUUUUUUAUGCGCCUUUUUACCCUGAAAGGAAAAUGAGCUUUAGGUAUCAGGUAACUUUGUUACCCAAGGCUAGAACAGAUGGCAAGAAAUAACCUAGUGUUUGUUUCUAUUGGGAAUUGAACCUGAGAACCAUCAUGCUCAACCCAACUUCAUUGAACCACUAAGGCCACACCCUUGGUUGUGUUUUAAAACUUUUUUCAAGUUAAGUUAUAUUAUAUAUUAAUUAAUAAUGUAAUUAUUUGAUCUUUAAUUGUAUCUACUAUCUAUUUUUAGUUUUUGAAUAGAAAUAUUGCUAAGAUGUUAUUGCUCUUGAUAUUUUGAUUAUUUAUAUAUGCAAUUAAAUAUUUUUAUUUUUUGAUAUUAAUUGGCACCACACUUCAAAAAGGCGAGCGCCUCGCCACGUGACAAAGCAGAGCCUUGUCACCUUUUGUUGUCCAAAACAUUGCUUCCAACAAGCAACAUGGACGAAAUGCAGGGUACACCCAUAUCCUUAAACCCAUUGCUCCAUUUUCAAUAGUAAGAGAAGAUGGUACUCUUCCCCCUUCCUUACUAGUCUCAAGCUCACCCUCAAAAGGUCAUGAAGACUACAAAUCACAUCCACAAAGCCACCGCACAAAUUCCCAAAUUUGUUAAUGUAAAGAAUAGAUCAUGGGCUCAGCCAAAAAAGCUAGCUCAUGGGGUGCGAAUUGUUCAAGUUCAUAUAAGGAGAUCAAUUGUCCAUCUUUUUUCAAUAUAAGACUCUUUAACACUUCCCGCAGGCCCAGACCUUGUUAGCUGGAGCAGGGACAAUAUAAUAUGGGGGUCCAAUAUUGGUGAACAAAGAAUUGGGGUGAGUUUGGCUCAGAUACCAGAUACCAGGUAAAGAAUGGAUCUUGGGCCUAACUCAACCCAAAAAGCUAGCUCAUACGGUGGGGAUCAUUUAAGUCUAUAUAAGGAGACCAAUUGUCCGUCCCUUUUCCAAGGUGGGACUCUUAAUAAUUGAAAAGUCGAAACAUCACAGAUGAAUAGGGAAGCCCACCAUGUUCACCACUACUAUAUCUCUAGAAACUCGUGGGUCGUCACACCCACUAAGGUCUACCCACUUUUCCAGCCUUCAAAAGCUCUCUCCCAGCCUCCUUCUACCUUCGUCAAGGGUACACACAGAUUGUUCUUAACUUACGAAACAGAACAAGAAUUAAGAUUCACCUAACUUUGAGAUCUUCAGACAUCAAGACCGCUCCAAACCUCUGCUGCCCAGUUCCUCACUGCAUCCGGAGACCCUGUCCAUUUGGAAAAUGAACCCACCAGACAAGUUAUUUAAAACUUUCUUCGGAUCUAGCUGUGCUUUUCAGUGAUACAAAGCUUAUGUUCAGCAUCAUAUUCUAGCACCUUACAUCUUGCACCUGGCUCCAAUGAUAGCCAAUCUAAAACCUCUUAGAAGGACAUAUGUUCUUAUAUCUUCCCUGAAGAUGAUGUCGAAGAAAAACAUAGUUGCACUAACCAAUGGUGCUCCAAAGCAGUGUUAAAUCCCUAUGGAACUGGACUGUGGAAGGGUAUCAGGAUAUUGUGGGAUGAGUUCUUUCUCAACUUAUCCCUCCAAGUGGAAAAUGGAGCUCAUUUCCUAUUCUGGAAAGACAAAUGGCUUGGUCCUACUACACUAAAGGAUGUCUUUCAUAGACUCUACACAAUAACUACUAAUUCAGAUUCAACAAUUGCUCAUAACUGGGACGACUCCUCAUGGAAUCUGCACCCAAGAAGGCACCAAAAUGACUGGGAAAUGGAGGACAUGAUAGCAUUGCUUGGGAGCUUACACAACAGUCCAGUUCUUAGUCAAAGAAUUAACAAACUUAAAUGGGGUAGCAAUAACCAAAGAAGGUUAUCUACUGUUAAGCGCCAGCACCAAGAAGGACCUGAUGGAGCAAUGGCCUUUGAAGCUAAUCUGGAAAACCAAAUCACCACCAGAAGUCUCUUGUUUCAGCUGGAUCACUCUUAAUGAUGCUCGUCAUUAGAAGGAAAUUCCGUCUAGCAAUAGAUGUCACAUAUGCCUAUGCAACUCUGAGUCUAUCAACCAUCUGUUCCUACACUGUCCAAUUGUUGCAAAUGUGUGGAACAUGUUUCUUUCUCUUUUGGUUUGCAAUGGUCUAUGCCUCGCACUGUCAGUGAAGUGCUUUUGUGCUGGAGCUCAUGGAAAGUUAGGAAGGCCAUCAAAAGAAUCUGGGUCUAUGGUUCCUGCCUGUAUUUUGUGGUGCCUAUGGAUGGAAAGGAAUCAGAGAUGUUUUGAUGGUAUUUCAACUACCAAUUCAAACUCAAAGACAGAUGUCUGAUUAGUCUCUUUAGCUGGGCUAAUCUCACCCCUGUACAUGACCCAAACUCCCUUAAGGGGGAUUCUAUGAGCUCUUUGGUCUUAUGAUAGUUUUUUUUGUAGUUUUUUUUUUUUUUUUUUAUGAGCUGAUAUUUCCUCCAAUUUUGGAACUACGCAUCUUCUUAAUGCUUUUGUGAAUAACACACCACUUCAUUUGAAAAAAAAAAACAAAGAGGAGUAAACUCACCACAAACUUACAUAAUGCCCUUGUUUCCUAUACCAACAAAGAUUGAAAAGAAGAUGAUGCCUUAAAGGAAAUUAAUAUGGCAAGGAAGCAAAGACAGGAGGUGUUUUCAAUUGAUAUAAUGGAAUACACUGAUCACUCGUAAAAAGGAAGGGGGUCUGGGUCUAAAGAACUUGAAAUUACACAACUCAAGUCUACUAACGAAGUCGCUAUGGAGGUAUGGCCUUGAAGAACAAGUUCUAUGGAGGAGAGUUAUCAGUGAGAAGUAUGGGAAUGGAAUGCAUUGUAUUUCAAACGGGGUCACCAGAACUUAUGGCACACGUGUAUGGAGAAAAAUCAGAGGCUUGUGGUCCUCUUUCAAAGCAAAUAUAGCUAUCAGUGUGGGAAAAGGAAGAUCUUUUUGGAUACAUAACUGGCUUGGAUAGGGGUCUUUAAAGAUCCUGUUUCCUGAUAUCUUCAGUUUAACUCAACAGCAGGAUGCAACGGUAAAUCGGAUUUGUGGGGGGCCUGCUACAGGAUUUGUGGGGGGCCUGCUACAGGAUUGGGAGAUAUCAGGAUUGGAAGGCGAAAGGCGACAAGGGCCUAACUGACUGAGGUACGAGAGGCAAGGCACUCGCCUUUUUGAAGUGAGAUUCCAAUUAAUACCAAAUAAUUUACAUAUUUAACUGCAUAGCGCAUAUAUCAAUAACCAAAAUCUCAAUAGCAAUGCCAUACUAGCAAAUAUUUCAAUUCAAAAACUAAAAGUAGAUACUAGAUACUAAACUGAAUUGGGCAGAAAAUUAAAAAAAAAAUGGACUAGAGAAUAUUUUAAAAAAAAAAACUGCCCGGAUAGCUGAAAAUAGAAAACAGAGGACAAAAACCAGAGGAAUAAGAAGCAGUGCACAGUACAGCUGUGGUUAUGUCAGAAACAGAAGGAGAGGAGAAAGAACAAAGAAAAGAAAGACUGCCAUGCCGAAAAUGAAACAGAGAAAGAAAAAGAUGAAACAGAAGAAGAGAAAAGGAGGAAAAAGAAGAAGGCAUACCUUUUUGGCUUUUGCAGCUAAAGACAACAAAGGUGAAGAAAUCCACUGUUUCUUUUUGAGCCUUGGAGGUAUGCGUAAGUAGAUACUGAUAAAAAGUUAGAAACCCAAAAAAUGUUUUAAUAAAAGAAGCUGCCAGUUUUUUAUUAUAUACAAAAGGUGUGCACUUCUGUCACCUAUACGCCUCUGCUCGAUUUUGCAGCCUUCCCUCGCCUCGCCUCACACUUAAGGCGCUAAAGCGAACGCCUUUCACAACACAGCUUGGAUCUUUCAAGGGGUUUGACGAACAAGGGGACAAACUAAGUAUCUUAUGAUGAUGUGAUCCAUAAUGGUCAACAAGCUACAUUGUGCCCUUGGAAACAAGUAUGGAAAGUCAAAAUUCCAUAUGUAGCUCGUUUUGUUUGAGUGAUAGCUAAAGAAGCCUGCCUGACUCCAGAAAAAUUAAAGAGAAGGGGCAUUCAAUUAUGCUCAAAAUGUUAUCUCUUCGGGGAAGAGUCAAAAAGUAACAAAUUUGUUUAUUCACUGUGUGAUCACUAACCAGCUUCGGCAGUUUUUCUUAAACAUGAAGGUCAUUAGAUGGACAAUUCCUAAACCAACUAGUGACUGAUUGGCAUGUUGGAGAAGCUUGAGCAGAGGUACCAGGCAGAAGAACAAAGAAACUAAUACCUGCUUGCAUUCGGUAGACUAUUUGGAAGGAAAAAAAUGAAAAUGUUUUGAAGAUAUACAAAAGUUUCAUUCAGAAUAAAGUUAAAGUGUAUCUUAGUUUUUCAUUUUGGUGUAAGAAGGCUUCAUAGAUGAUUCUAAGUCUUUUUUAGAGGUUUUAGAAUCUUCGUAAAAUCCUCGUAAGCAUAAAAAAGGAGACACUGAUUUUAAAGUCGCUUUGUUCUGUAAAUAUGGAAACUAACACUGUUGUGCUGAAGUUAUAUAUAAUACUCGUUACCUUUACUUUUAUUUUUAUUCUUAAAAAAGACAUGACUUAGCAGAUAAUACUGUACAUCACGAGACAUUACUGGGAAUAUAGAGGUCCUACAACGAUUAAAAAACAUAUGAUCAGAACAAUAAGGAGCAUAAUGGUACCUGAAGCGGUUGUUGACGCGUCAUUCCAACGGGGAACUAGAAAAUCAAAACCAUAUAAUAAGAAUUCCACUGAAAUUCAAGCCCUAUCAAGAAGUAUGGUUAAAUACUAACCACAGUAGCAUGAGAAGCUUGUUGCAAUAAUUGAUGAGGGCAGACCUGGGUCUGGACAUGUGUUGGAAGCUGAUUCCGAAGCUGUGCUUGCAUUUCAGGAACUUGUUGGGAAGGAAACCCCUGUGGUUGCGCCUGAACAUGAGCCUGUUGGACUGAGAGUUUUUGCUGUUGUUGUUCGUAUGAUAUCAGCUCCUCCGGCUUUUCCCACUAAAUUUCAAAAACAAUGAAUUAAUACUUAGUAGGUGGACUAAAAGUAUAGAACUUCAACCAGCAGGCACUAUAAUACAUUACCCUGCUUUCUCCAGUAGUACUGUUGUAAUAGUACUUGAAUCCAUCAGGGGACAUGUGCUCUGUCCAAUUACAUUUCACCUGACCAGUAGUCUGGUUCAUUCCAGAUGUAGCAGGAAGCGCAUCUGCUUUUGGUUGGACAGCAGUGGCACUAGGUGCUGCUUGUUGAACAAGGGCAGGCCAUGGAGACUGCAGAACAGUAUACUUUGUGAGCAAAUAAUAUCAAUUUGCACAGUAACAUUUACUCUUAAUACUCGAAUAUUCUUGAAAUAUUUAUAGUUAUGGCAAGGAAAACAUAAAACCGAAUCCCAACUAGAACUGGAUGAAACAGAGCACACAUUGAGCCAUAGAACACACAAGUUUAAAGAGAGCAAUGGCCAGUGAAGACCAUAUAUCAUUCCAGUACCAUAGGAAAAUAUUUUCAAAAAAGAGAUUCCAUUGUGAAAAUUUUUGAGAAUCUCAAGAUCCCAAGUUAUAAGAGAUUCCAUUGUGAAAAUUUUCUCAAGUGUACCUGUGGUUUAGCAUCUUGUGUGCCCUGCUGGACUGCUGAGUUUUGGCUAGAUGGUUGCAUGAGCUGCAAUUGUUGCUGAAGCUGAGUAAAGGUUUGCUGUGAUGAUUGAAAACUCGCCUGCAGAGUUUGGGUCUGUUGAGACAACAUCUGUGCUAGUUGGGAAGGGGGAGGAUGAAGAUGUUGGACCAACUGCUGCUGUAAAGGCUGCUGAUUUGCAUUUGCAGAUGCAGCAUGUAUUUGCAUGUUGUUACUUGAGGGUGUAUGUCCAAUGACAGGUGCCAUAUUGCGCUGCACCUGGGGCUGAGAAACAGUUGAUUGCCCAGUCAUACCAAGCGACUGCUGCAAUGGCAUUCCCUGACGGAAAGGACUUUGACCAGAAGAGUGGGACAUCUGUACUUGAUUUGUCUGAACGAAAAAAGCAUGAGAUGUUGGUCCCUGUGACAUAGGAGUUGAAGCGGGAGGGUGAAGCUGCACGGUAGAUGGUAAAUGUUGCGGUGACUGAAGUGGCUUUUGUAGUGGAGAAAUCUGUGGGCCAACAGUGGAGAAUUGUUGAGCAGACUUGCCAACAAAAGACAAACUUAGCAAGAAAACAGCAAAUAGACACCAUUCCUAAGAUUGAAAUAACAUUAAGCAAGUUUCUAUACAUACCAGUUUCGAUGUAGGAGCAGAAGCAGCCGAGGGUCCUGUAAGCAACCCAUUUCCAGUGCCACUAACACCCCUGAAGGAGCCACCCUAAAAGUUUGUGCAGGCAACAUUAGAACAACACACGUUUCUAUACAUGUACAAAGUGUAUUUUAUAUAGAUAUUGAGAAAACAAGCCCACAGACAAACAUUAUCUCCAGAUAUGCAAUCAACUAUUCCUCAAUUGAAAAUUAGUCGGGGUCAAUUUCUUCUGAAAAUUGCAUUUAAAUAAGUUGUAGUCAAUCAUAAGGGGGUCCAAUUAAGUAUUGUGAUACAUCCAAAGGUCCACAACAAUAUAGAUGCUCUUAUACUCGAAUUAUGCCUAGAAAUAAAGUUGAUGCCACUUUAGCUUGCUGUUUGCUAUUAGAAAAUCAGAAAAAUCAUUCGGAUUAGAUCAUCAAACACAAAUUGUAUAGAGCGAAUGCUGCAAAUUAGGUUCUAAAAGUACAAAAUCUUAACGAAUCGGGCAAAAAUUUUAACAGCAAAUUCUAAACCUGAUAAGAGAGGAAACAAGAACACAAUCACAAAGACAUGAUCAUUUUAUGUCUUUGUUCUAUUAACUAGUAUGCUAGCUUCUAAAGAGGACAAAGUACCAGAUUAAAAUUAUAAAGAAUAAUGUUUGAAUUUAUUAGAAGUACAGGGACAAAGUACCAAAAAAAAAAAAUGUUACAAGGACCGGUAAUGAAAUUCCUUCAUUCACAAAACCAGAAAUCACCCAAAGAAAUUUGACCCAUACAAAAACAUGUUGCUGCAGAUAAAUCCAGGAAUAGAUUACAGAUCUAAGAAUUGGUUCUAGUUAUAUGACUCGCAUGUAGCACCACAUGGGUGCCACAUCAUUUUCGGAGGAUCUGAGCAACAUAGACCAUGAGGUCUCAAAUUCAAAUCUCACCUGAUGCGGAAAAAAAAACUAGGUGAUUUCUUCCCACUAUAAUGGUCGGAGGUAGCAGGUACCCGGUGGAAUAAUCGAGGUGAACGCAAGUUGGCCCGGACACCACUAUAGUGGAAAAAUGACAAUAGUAUGUGUUGAAGAAUGAAAAAAGUCCAACAUUGGUGGUUAAUGAGAUGGGUGGUCUCUUUAUAAGGCUUGAGCAAUCCUCCUCCUUGAGCUAGCUUUUGGGGCGUGAGUUAGGCCUACGACCUAAUAGCAGGAUCCAUCUCACCCAAUGUUGGGCCCCCAAAUUAAAAGUUGCCAACAUACCAUAUGUCUAGUCCUAGGCAUGAGGUGGGGUGUUGAAGAAUGAAAAAAGUCCCACAUUAGUGGUUAAUGAGAAAGGUGGUCUCUUUAUAAGGCUUGGGCAAUCCUCCUCCCUUUGAGCUAAGCUUUUGGGGUGUGAGUUAGACCUAAGUAUCAACGUAAGGAUAUUCAUUCUAGUUUCCCAGGAAAGGGUAGGUAACAGAUGUUGUAGACCAUUUGUGGUAGUUCAUACCUAACCUAAGACCUAAUUUUAAAGCAUGUAUCAACGUAAGGAUAUUCAUUCUAGUUUCCCAGGAAAGGGUAGGUAACAGAUGCUGUAGACCAUUUGUGGUAGUCCAUACCUGAUGUGUCUCUAAUUCCAACCUAGCUAAACAUAUUUUCGCAGGUACAAAUAUAUGUCAAAUGACUGACUUGCUUCCCUCUGCAAAUUGACUACCAACAUACAUAGAGGAUGUACAUUUACAGAAUAACCCCCACGCCUAUUUAUUGUACAGCUAUAUAAUUUAUUUCAUAUGAAUGCUUUUGCACAAAAAAGAUGCAUAAUUACAUCAACACAGUGCAUGAUGGUAAAAUUUAAACAAAAAUUGCAAUCUCCCCCUCAUAAACAGUUAAUCUGAUGGCAAUAGAAGAUUCAAGACUGUUUUCCUUACCAAAGCAGAAGGAGCGGUGGUAUCAGCAGAUCUAGGAGGAAAUUGAUUCCCAAAACCAUGCAUCCCUUGGUUGGAAAUUGGCCUGAGACCUUCUGGACUCAUAGGUCGCCAGGCAUUAGGACCAAUUUGGCCUUGUAAAGGCUCACCAAUAUUAGGCGGCGGUCUACAUACCAGAGAAAACAAAGAGACUUUGAGUUCUAUAUUGGGGAAUACCUCAUUCAAAUGCAAAAACUUAACUGAUACCUCAUCCCAGGUGUUGGGAAACGAGGUCCAACACCAGGUCCACCAAAAGCUGGUCCACCACCUCUGAAAGGAGUGAAAAGGAGUGAUAAGGAAAACGACAACUAAUUGCAGAACAACAAUGCACUGGUCAAAGCAAAGCCUACUCGGAACAUCUUUUUUUUUUCUUAAAAUAAAGCGCACUGGUAUCUCAUGAAAUACCUAGGUUGUUCUCCAGGUUUAGGCCUCUUAGGGUCGGCAAACCGGACAGUUAAAGGUUGGUCGCACCCCUGGAAUUUGUGAAGGCAAUAACAAAUUGAUAAAGGGUUUUAAAAUGGUAUCAAACCAGGAAGAUAACUAUUAAGAUCACAACCUUACCCUCAUUGUAUAAUUUCCACUCAGAGAGUUAAUAGCUGCCAUUGCCAUAUCUCUAUGAGAAUAUUUGACGAAUCCACAACCUUCAAAGUAGUUAAAGUUAAAUUAGCGAGGGUGAAAGUGAAUAUAAACUACCAACAAUAAAGCCCAUGACUUCAUGCUGGAUUAUUGUUGCUAAUAUUCAGCAUCCUUAUGAAUCCACAACCUUCAAAGUAGUUAAAGUUAAAUUAGAGGGGGUGAAAGUGAAUAUAAACUACCAACAACAAAGCCCAAGACUUCAUGCUGGAAUUAUUGUUGCUAAUGUCCAGCAUCCUCCAGUGAAAGUAUCCUCUCCAGUGCAAGUGAUCCAGUGCAUAACAAGAACUCAUUAAGAGAACAAACCAGGACUAUGGGAAAGCUAAGGUUAUAAGAAGGUGAUAAGAAGGUGCCACUUAAGCUUAAAAGGCAAAUUCUACAGAGUGGCGGUCCGUCCGGUCAUGCUGUAUGGAGCGGAGUGUUGGCCAGUCAAGAACUCCCAUAUUCAAAGAUUGAAGGUGGCGGAAAUGAGAAUGUUGUGUUGGAUGUGUGGACUAACUAGAGAGGAUAAAGUUAGGAAUGAGAUUAUCCGGGAGAAGGUGGGAGUGGCUUCAGUGGAGGACAAGAUGCGAGAAGGAAGGUUGAGAUGGUUUGGGCAUGUGAUGAGGAGGGGCACGGAUACCCCUGUUCGGAGGUGUGAGAGGCUAGCUUUGGACGGCUUCAAGAGGAGUAGAGGUAGGCCUAAGAAAUACUGGAGGGAGGUGAUUAGGCAUGACAUGGAACUGCUUCAGAUUACUGAGGACAUGACCCUAAACAGGAAGGUGUGGAGGUCGCGGAUUAGGGUAGACGGCUAGGGUAAGUGUGUAGGUAAUCGCUAGGUGAUAAGGGAGUUUGGGUGUGGUGGGUGUUUAGGCCUGUGAGGGCAUGUUACUACCACAUGGGUAUCUAUGUUCUUAUUUCAUAUUCCGUAUUGUUCGUAUUUCUCUUAUUUCCCAUUUCUCUGAGACUUGUGUUCUUAUUUUUUAUAUCUUAUUUCUGUUAUGCUAUACAGCCUGUUUCAUGUCUCAUUACGACCUUGGUAUACUAUUAUCUAUCUUGAGCCGAGGGUCUAUCGGAAACAGCCUCUCUACUUCCUCGGAGGUAGUGGUAUGGAGUGCGUAACAUUUUACCCUCCCCAGACCUCACUUUGUGGGAAUAUACUGGGUCUGUUGUUGUUGUUGUUGUUGUUGUUAUAUUUUACCCUCAGCAAGGAAACAUCUAACUUUUUUUUUGCACUAUUAAAUUAGUGAAAACAUAAGAACCGUGUACUUCCUAGUGUUAUCUAAGAGAACAUUGAGAAAUAACAUGUGAAGGACAGGGUAAGAUGACAAUAUGGCUCCAAAGAACAUUUUAUUAAUCUAGCGUUCAAGAUAAACAAAAUAUUCGUCAUCUAAGACAGGACAAGCUUAUAGGUAAAUCCAUAUAGCUUCAAAGCACCAACGGAUUAGUUCAACAAUAGUUUAUAAGUCAUAAGUUUGCUUCAACCUGAGAUAUGGAGUUUAGAGCCUUUAAGCAGAUCAGGGAAAAGAAACUGUAUUAUCAUGCAUAGCCAGCACAGGACAAGGUGCACAUUCAUACAAAAUAAAAAAGGAAUCAAUAAC
rnacentral:lncRNA from 1 species